AGCUCCAAUCGCGUAUAUUAAAGUUGUUGCGGUUAAAAAGCUCGUAGUUGGAUUUCUGCUGAGGACGACCGGUCCGCCCUCUGGGUGAGUAUCUGGCUCGGCCUUGGCAUCUUCUUGGAGAACGUAACUGCACUUGACUGUGUGGUGCGGUAUUCAGGACUUUUACUUUGAGGAAAUUAGAGUGUUCACGGCAAGCUUUCGCUUUGAAUACAUUAGCAUGGAAUAAUGAUAUAGGGCAUAAGUUCUAUUUUGUUGGUUUCUAGAACAUAUGCAAUGAUUAAUAGGGAUAAUUGGGGGCACUCGUAUUAACGCGUCAGAGGUGGAAUUCUUAGAUUGCGUUACGACGAACUACUGCGAAAGCAUUUGCCAAGUAUGUUU
rnacentral:rRNA from 1 species